rnacentral:rRNA from 1 species
UUAAUACAUCGUAACUUAAUGAAGUGGCAUCACUUUAUUAAUAUAGCUCCGGCGGUUUUGGAUGGGCGUGCGCCUGAUUAGGUAGUUGGCGGGGUAACGGCCCACCAAGCCUGCGAUCAGUAACUGGUGUGAGAGCACGACCAGUCACACGGGCACUGAGACACGGGCCCGACUCCUACGGGAGGCAGCAGUAAGGAAUAUUGGUCAAUGGACGCAAGUCUGAACCAGCCAUGCCGCGUGAAGGAUGAAGGUCCUCUGGAUUGUAAACUUCUUUUAUAUGGGACGAAACCUCUUUUUCUUGAGAGACUGACGGUACCAUAGGAAUAAGCACCGGCUAACUCCGUGCCAGCAGCCGCGGUAAUACGGAGGGUGCAAGCGUUAUCCGGAUUCACUGGGUUUAAAGGGAGCGUAGGAGGGCAGGUAAGUCAGUGGUGAAAUCUUCGAGCUUAACUCGGAAACUGCCGUUGAUACUAUCUGUCUUGAAUACCGUGGAGAUGAGCGGAAUAUGUCAUGUAGCGGUGAAAUGCUUAGAUAUGACAUAGAACACCAAUUGCGAAGGCAGCUCGUUACACGAAUAUUGACUCUGAGGCUCGAAAGCGUGGGGAUCAAACA